rnacentral:rRNA from 1 species
GCAGUCGAGCGAGCUUGCCUAGAUGAUUUUAGUGCUUGCACUAAAUGAAACUAGAUACAAGCGAGCGGCGGACGGGUGAGUAACACGUGGGUAACCUGCCCAAGAGACUGGGAUAACACCUGGAAACAGAUGCUAAUACCGGAUAACAACACUAGACGCAUGUCUAGAGUUUGAAAGAUGGUUCUGCUAUCACUCUUGGAUGGACCUGCGGUGCAUUAGCUAGUUGGUAAGGUAACGGCUUACCAAGGCAAUGAUGCAUAGCCGAGUUGAGAGACUGAUCGGCCACAUUGGGACUGAGACACGGCCCAAACUCCUACGGGAGGCAGCAGUAGGGAAUCUUCCACAAUGGACGAAAGUCUGAUGGAGCAACGCCGCGUGAGUGAAGAAGGGUUUCGGCUCGUAAAGCUCUGUUGGUAGUGAAGAAAGAUAGAGGUAGUAACUAGCCUUUAUUUGACGGUAAUUACUUAGAAAGUCACGGCUAACUACGUGCCAGCAGCCGCGGUAAUACGUAGGUGGCAAGCGUUGUCCGGAUUUAUUGGGCGUAAAGCGAGUGCAGGCGGUUCAAUAAGUCUGAUGUGAAAGCCUUCGGCUCAACCGGAGAAUUGCAUCAGAAACUGUUGAACUUGAGUGCAGAAGAGGAGAGUGGAACUCCAUGUGUAGCG